GAUGAACGCUGGCGGCGUGCUUAACACAUGCAAGUUGAACGAAGUGGCGGAUGGGUGAGUAACACGUGAGGAACCUGCCUUUCACAGGGGAAUAACACUGGGAAACCAGUGCUAAUACCGCAUAGUGAAAGAUGGCCUCGCGCCUGAUUAGCUAGUAGGUGAGGUAACGGCUCACCUAGGUGAGGAGCAGGAGCCGGCCGGAAGGUUGCUCGGCCGCAUUGGGACUGAGACACGGCCCUGACUCCUACGCGGGGCAGCAGGGGGGAAUAUCGGGCAAUGGCGCAAGACUGACCCAGCAACGCCGCGUGAAGGAAGACGGUCUUCGGAUUGUAAACUUCUUUAGACAGCGACGCGGUACCUGUAGAAUAAGCCACGGCUAACUACGUGCCAGCCGCCGCGGUAAUAC
rnacentral:rRNA from 1 species